AGGCUGGUUUAGGGAGCCGGUGCUCCCCGCGGGCUGCAAACCCGUUUGAGAUCGCUGAACAGGCGGUCUGUUCGGUUCAACUCCGAACCCAGCCU
rnacentral:tRNA from 1 species